GGACGAAUAGCUCAGUUGGUCAGAGCGUCCCGCUGAAGACGGGAAGGUCGGUGGUUCGAUCCCAUCUGCGUCCA
rnacentral:tRNA from 1 species